UACGUAGGUGGCAAGCGUUAUCCGGAUUUAUUGGGCGUAAAGGGAACGCAGGCGGUCUUUUAAGUCUGAUGUGAAAGCCUUCGGCUUAACCGGAGUAGUGCAUUGGAAACUGGGAGACUUGAGUGCAGAAGAGGAGAGUGGAACUCUAUGUGUAGCGGUGAAAUGCGUAGAUAUAUGGAAGAACACCAGUGGCGAAAGCGGCUCUCUGGUCUGUAACUGACGCUGAGGUUCGAAAGCGUGGGCAGCAAACAGG
rnacentral:rRNA from 1 species